UACGUAGGGGGCAAGCGUUGUCCGGAAUCAUUGGGCGUAAAGAGCGCGUAGGCGGUCCGGUAAGUCCGCUCUGAAAGUCCGGGGCUCAACCCCGGGAGGCGGGCGGAUACUGUCGGGCUAGAGUCCGGAAGAGGCGAGUGGAAUUCCUGGUGUAGCGGUGAAAUGCGCAGAUAUCUGGAGGAACACCGGUGGCGAAGGCGGCAUCCUGGACCAAUUCUGACGCUGAGGAGCGAAAGCCAGGGGAGCAAACGGG
rnacentral:rRNA from 1 species